AGUCGAACGAUGAAGCCCAGCUUGCUGGGUGGAUUAGUGGCGAACGGGUGAGUAACACGUGAGUAACCUGCCCUUGACUCUGGGAUAAGCGUUGGAAACGACGUCUAAUACCGGAUACGAGCUUCCACCGCAUGGUGAGUUGCUGGAAAGAAUUUUGGUCAAGGAUGGACUCGCGGCCUAUCAGCUUGUUGGUGAGGUAAUGGCUCACCAAGGCGACGACGGGUAGCCGGCCUGAGAGGGUGACCGGCCACACUGGGACUGAGACACGGCCCAGACUCCUACGGGAGGCAGCAGUGGGGAAUAUUGCACAAUGGGCGAAAGCCUGAUGCAGCAACGCCGCGUGAGGGACGACGGCCUUCGGGUUGUAAACCUCUUUUAGCAGGGAAGAAGCGAAAGUGACGGUACCUGCAGAAAAAGCACCGGCUAACUACGUGCCAGCAGCCGCGGUAAUACGUAGGGUGCAAGCGUUGUCCGGAAUUAUUGGGCGUAAAGAGCUCGUAGGCGGUUUGUCGCGUCUGCUGUGAAAUCCCGAGGCUCAACCUCGGGUCUGCAGUGGGUACGGGCAGACUAGAGUGCGGUAGGGGAGAUUGGAAUUCCUGGUGUAGCGGUGGAAUGCGCAGAUAUCAGGAGGAACACCGAUGGCGAAGGCAGAUCUCUGGGCCGCUACUGACGCUGAGGAGCG
rnacentral:rRNA from 1 species